AAAUAAAAUAAAGUUGUUUCUUAACUAUACCUGUUAUUCUCCUGUAGCAACCAGGGAUGAUUGGUCUCAUCCAU
rnacentral:snoRNA from 1 species